rnacentral:lncRNA from 1 species
CCACUCUUGCUGUGCAAACUCAAUUUCCUGUAUCCUACUCUACGUAUUUUCGAAGCAGUCAUCGCCAUAUGGUAUACUCUCUCUAGAUUAUUUUCUUGGGCAUUUGCCUAUUGUCACCUUUUCUUCUCACUAGCAUGUGGCUCCAUGAGGGCAAAUACUUAAUCUGUUAUGUUCACUGGGGCAUCUCCAGAACUUGCCUGAAACCCAGUAGGUGUUCAAUAAGUUCUGGAGGGAUGAAUGAAUGACUCCUCUCACUGUAAGGAAGUUUGGGAUAUGUAGUCUAUCUGGGCACAUUUCUAUCUGUUCUCUUUGCAGGGGAGAAAGGGAUGAGGAUGUUGGAUAAGCAGCUCAGCAUGUUCCCCAACAUGUAAGGGAAUCAGGUCGAGUUCUACACUCUCCUUCUUGGUACACAUCCUCAGAAUGCAGGAAGUGCCUGUGCUUGCUGUGAGUCUUUGUGGACAGAGGCAGGAUCAUGCUGGCUAGAAUCUAGUGGACAAGGGCAGCACAUUCCCCCUGUUCCCAGGUGGGUCCAGAGAUGUCGCCUGGGAGCCAGGGCCUGGAGUUCUGUUACUGUGGCUGAGCUUGCACCCAAGCUACAAGAUGACAUCCUACUCUUCCCUCACCUUUCUACAAGUAGAGGAGUCUCUUCUCAUGGCCACCAUUGUCCCAGGAUGUGAGGUCUGGAACAGCUGCAGCCAUUUUGCCACCAUGGGAAACCUGGGACAUCUGAACUGACUCCAUGAAGCCUGAAGAGAAAGCUAAUAAGAAGGCAGAGAGAAGAGGAAGAGUCUUGGUCUUUGGAAAUAUCUUUUGGAGCUGCUGGAUCAAGUAUCACUUGAAGGUGUCUCUUCUCACGUGGAAUCACAGCAUUGGAUGGACUGAAAAGAGGAAGAGGCUGCAAUGGAGCAGCACACCUGGUGCGUGGGGAUGCCUGGAAAACAAAAUUAGGAGAGCCCUGGGUCAGCAUUGCUCUGGCACUGGCUGGGCCGGGGGCCAUCCUGAUUCUAGAAUUAUCUUGGUUCCUGGGAUAGAAAUGUCCCCAGAGUGGAGAAGUUCAGUUCAAUCCAACAUCCUUAUAUUGCAAUGAGGAUAAAGACCACAGACCCUAUGGCCUGUAUGACCCAGCUGCCCAUUUCUAGGAACCCAUUCCUACAGAAAUGACAACAUGCGUGUGCAAACAGCAACAAUGACAAACAUACCCUGGGAUGCUUUCCCUCUGUGGUUUGUUAUAGUAAGAUAGCGGCUACAGCUUAUAUAUCAUCAACAGAGGACUGGCUAAAUGAUGGCACUUCAUUCUGCAGAAUCUUUUUUUGUAGUCAAAAAGAACAAGUUAGAUCUAUAUGUGUGAACAUGGAAAGGUGUACAUGACUUAAGUAGAAAAAUUAAGUUGCAGAACGA